UACGGAGGGUGCAAGCGUUAUCCGGAUUUAUUGGGUUUAAAGGGCUCGUAGGCGGCCAACUAAGUCGGAUGUGAAAUCCCCAGGCUCAACUUGGGAACUGCAUCCGAUACUGGAUGGCUUGAAUCCGGGAGAGGGAUGCAGAAUUCCAGGUGUAGCGGUGAAAUGCGUAGAUAUCUGGAGGAAUACCGGUGGCGAAGGCGGCAUCCUGGACCGGCAUUGACGCUGAUGAGCGAAAGCUAGGGGAGCAAACGGG
rnacentral:rRNA from 1 species